rnacentral:rRNA from 1 species
AAGGUGGGGAUGACGUCAAAUCAUCAUGCCCCUUAUGUCCUGGGCCACACACGUGCUACAAUGGCCGGUACAGAGGGAAGCGAAGCCGUGAGGCGGAGCAAAUACCCAAAAGCCGGUCUCAGUUCGGAUUGUAGGCUGCAACUCGCCUACAUGAAGUCGGAAUCGCUAGUAAUCGCGGAUCAGCACGCCGCGGUGAAUACGUUCCCGGGCCUU